rnacentral:rRNA from 1 species
CCUACGGGUGGCAGCAGUGGGGAAUAUUGGACAAUGGGGGGAACCCUGAUCCAGCGACGCCGCGUGAGUGAAGACGUAUUUCGGUAUGUAACGCUCUAUCAGCAGGGAAGAAAGAAAUGACGGUACCUGACUAAGAAGCCCCGGCUAACUACGAGCCAGCAGCCGCGGUAAUACGUCGGGGGCAAGCGUUAUCCGGAUGUACUGGGUGUAAGGGGAGCGUAGACGGCGAUGCAAGUCGGAAGUGAAAGGCGUGGGCCCAACCCCCGAACUGCUGUGGAAACUGUAUGGCUGGAGUGCAGGAGAGGUAAGUGGAAUUCCUAGUGUAGCGGUGAAAUGCGUAGAUAUUAGGAGGAACACCAGUGGCGAAGGCGGCUUACUAAACUGUAACUGACAUUGAGGCUCGAAAGCGUGGGUAGCAAACAGGAUUAGAUACCCGGGUAGUC